rnacentral:rRNA from 1 species
GAUGAACGCUGGCGGCGUGCCUAAUACAUGCAAGUCGAGCGAACAGACGAGGAGCUUGCUCCUCUGACGUUAGCGGCGGACGGGUGAGUAACAUGUGGAUAACCUACCUAUAAGACUGGGAUAACUUCGGGAAACCGGAGCUAAUACCGGAUAAUAUAUUGAACCGCAUGGUUCAAUAGUGAAAGACGGUUUUGCUGUCACUUAUAGAUGGAUCCGCGCUGCAUUAGCUAGUUGGUAAGGUAACGGCUUACCAAGGCUACGAUGCGUAGCCGACCUGAGAGGGUGAUCGGCCACACUGGAACUGAGACACGGACCAGACUCCUACGGGAGGCAGCAGUAGGGAAUCUUCCGCAAUGGGCGAAAGCCUGACGGAGCAACGCCGCGUGAGUGAUGAAGGUCUUCGGAUCGUAAAACUCUGUUAUUAGGGAAGAACAAAUGUGUAAGUAACUAUGCACGUCUUGACGGUACCUAAUCAGAAAGCCACGGCUAACUACGUG